ensembl:lncRNA
CUUAUGAAACGUGGAAAGCACAGUGAUCUCAGACUUAAACAAGGGAAUAGUCACUAUUCAUAUUAUGUUUUAGAACACAAUUAUUAAAGAGAGACCUGUGGAAACUUAUUCUGGAAGUAGUAAUUGAAAUUAAUUCCCACAGGUGACCGCACCCUGGCAACCACAAAUGGCAGUGCUCUGAGUUAAAAGGCAAUAUGACCUUUGGCCCAUAAGAGACAGGGAUAAUUGGGUGAACUGUCUCCACCCCCUUACCUGAGAUCCCUUCCAGACAGAGCAGGAGGGCCUGCUGGUUCCACCCCAAGAUCCUGAGCUGGAGUAGAGAGACGCAACUCAAUGCGGAAAUCAUGAAGCUUGUAGUUAUUUUCUAGAAGUAGCAUCUGUUGGCUUCUGAGGAAGCUAAAACCUCCUUUGCCUACUGUGGUUGGCAGAAUGAUGGCUCCUUAAAGGUGUCCAUCUCUUUAUCCCUGGGGUCUGUGGAUAUGUUACCUUACCUGGUAAAAGGGACUUUGCAGAUGUGAUUAAGUUAAGGAUUCUGAGAUGGGACCCUGGAUCAUCCAGGAGGGCCCAACGUAAUCACAAGCGUUCUGAUAAGUGAAAGAGAGAGGCGGGGGAAUCUGAGUCAGAGAGAGAUUUGAAGCUACGACAUCACUGGCUUUGAAGAUGGAGGAACGGGCCACAAGGCAGGGAGUGCAGGCAGCCUUUGGAAGCUGAAAAAGAAAAGGUGAUCAAAGGGAAACACCAUGUUCAAGAUGAUGUUUAAGAUAGCUGAGAUGCUUCCAUUUCUUCUUCUACCCUUGCUUCUGGAUCUGAAGAAUUGUGUGACCUAAUUUGAACCUAAUCCUGUCUACGGAAUCCCUUGGCUAAUAAUUAGGGAUGGUUUGAAUUCAAUUGGGCUAUCGAGUCAACUAAAUGCAGAAGUUAGAACCCAUUAUUUUGAAAGAUACUGCCAUUUAUAACUUCUAGCCACAGAAUUCUACAACAGGUUUUGUUCAUUAGCGUAAUUAUCCAAGGUGAUUCAAAGUCAUUUCCACUAUAGUCAUUCCUGAGCCAUCUUGAGAGGGCGAUCACUGCGGCAGAGGAAUCCAAAGAAACUGACCCUUACCUUGAAGUGAAAACCUGAGGAUGCGAAUCCACGUCUCUGGGGUCGAAAAGGUCACAAACAGAAAACCUGCUGCACUUCUGAGUCUUCACAGAUUUCAGUGAUUUGGUCCAAAUCCAGAAACCAUCUUGAGACAAUAAAAAGGCUGCUGAAUGGGAACCAAGCAGGACGGCUCAACUCUCACCGAGUUUUUGCCUCUCAAGGGAAACUGAGGCCUGCAAGGGAGCUGCUAUGCAUAGUGAUUAGGAUCUCGGAGCCUCGGUUUCUUCAUGUGCAACACGUGGAUGUCAAUCACUACCUCAUGGUGAUGUUAGAUGGAAUAAAUUCAACAAUGAUUGCAAAGCCCUCAGCAAAGUUGCUGGCAUAUAUUGAGGGCUAACACAGCAAUCAUUAACAGGAGAAAAGUCGUCUGUUACAGGAUGAACAAAAUCUUCUGUAAAGCAUGAGAUUGAGAAAUAGAAUAAUCUGUGGGUUGACUUGGACAGUAGUGGACUCUGGUGUCCUGACUGAAUGACUGAAUGAGGUGGCCUUUGAAAGGAGAGAAAAUGGACGUCUUGUCUUCUCUGAGCUUCUGCCAACACUGAAAAGGCUGAGGAACGGUUUCAUGGUGUAUCAGGGUUCCGUUUUUAAAACUGGUUGCACACAUCCCUCAUUUGAGGGUCCUGUUGGGUAGUUUAGGAGAGAAAAUGAAUGUCUAUGUUCUUGAAGGCCAAUUUGGGAGUGCAAAUGUUGGAUUUGGGAUCUCAUUGGAAAGUCUGUGUUAUUUAAAUUUCUAAAGCGAGCCCUCUCAUGUGACCUCAAGCUAAUGCGUGGGUCUGCUGGAAUAACAGCUUUGAGUAAUUUCUUCCAGCAGUGCCUACUAAGUAACCCGGGAUAAAAGUAUUGUUUUCCCAUGAAUGGUGGAAUUGUCAGGAAGGUAACAAAUUGCCCCAGACUUUUGUUGGUGCAACGGAAUUCAAGCUUCUUUCAAUUUUUUUGGACUUCCAAAAAAAAAUCUUUGAGAGACUACUGUGUGGCAAUACUGCGUGCUGGCCAGAGAGUCUAUAGAUGACAACACAGUGUCCCAGAAUCUUGCCUUAUUUUUCUUUUCCCUCCACCCCCACCCGCCAUCUCUCACCAGACAGAAUAGGUGAAGAGGUUGAGUUGUAGAUCUCAUUUCUCCUGUUUUGCUGCUUGUGAAGUCUGCCAACAGAAUCCACCUUGACAAAGUCAAGGACUGUGCGUUUAAUGUUGAACUGAGUGAAUAAAUUAUGCAUGAAAUUGUGCCGGAGUCUCUAGUGUGCAGAAUUGCUCCUUUUGAUAUGAAAGGUUAAUUCAGAAAGGAGUCCAAAAUAGCUGGAAAUUGUGGGGAUAAGUGGAUAGUAUUCACUGUUGUGAGCUGUUAUUACUAGAAAUUGCAUUCCCUCUCUGGCUUCCCCGGAGAUUUCUCUUUGCCAGUGAAUAUAAACUGUACUCAAUAGAAUAGCAUUUAGGAGUAACAAGAGUGUAUGUCCACACACAAUAAAAUAUUCUAAUGGCGUUUUAAAAAGAAGUUGUACUUUUUCAGGUAUAUCAUGUACCCCAAGGAAGAAUUUCUACUGCAUUUAGGUCAAGAACAAGGCAUAGCAAACAUAAUGAGUUUUGGACAUAUAUGUAUUGUAAGGGGCUGCCUGGGACUCCUGUUUCUGAGCCUGGGCUGGUCAUGCCACUGAUUAGUCAUGCAAGCCUGGUUUCUGAUAAAGCCCAAACCAUCCUUGCUUAAAGAAGGAACCACCCCAAAUUGUUUUUAUCACUACAGCUUACACAUCCAGCUUUAAUUUAAUCUUUGGUAAAUUUAUGAAGUUCUUCAACCUAUUUCACUUAAAUGUCCUUUUUACACACAUCCUUAUAUCAUUUUUAUGUUAGUUCAUUAUUUCCAGCAGAAAAACGUAGCUGUCUGGAAAGCUAAAUUUGACUGAAAAUACACAUACACAUAUUUUUGGAGCUUGUUAGAGACUCUUUUUUGUGUUUCCAUCACAAGGGAACGGAAUUGAGCCACCAGACUGUGGAAGUUGUUUAUUUUUGUCGCUCUUAUGUACAUUUUCAGAAACCAUCUACUUCUUAAUCUACACCAGGGACUAGUAGUUUUUUUCUCUAAUUAUAAAGUGGUCUCAUUUCUGACCUGGCGUAGUUUUUAAUUUUAAUUCCUGGCUUGUGUUUAUAAACUGUUAGACUACAUUAUCCUGUUGGGAACGUUGAGAGAAAGGCUUCAGUCUUUUGUGUUGGUUUUAACAAUUAGAUAUUCAUUCAGUGUCUUAAAAUGUAUUUCGGAGCAACCAAAGAUGCACUUUUGAUGUCGUUUUUUUUCCUUCUGUGUUUCACUUAUGUAUCUAUUUCACAUUAGUGAUAAAGCUUGUAAAACUCUGGAUGGGUGACGGUGAAUAGUUGUAGUAGUAUUAUAAAACCUAACAGGAGUCAACAAAAUUGAUACAAUUACUUUUUUUAAUGUAUUUUUUUGUUUCAAAUGUUUAUGUGGAAAAAGAUAUAGAAAUCUUGGCGUAGGGAAGAUAUUCCUACAAAUUUUGGCAGAUGCUGGGUUAAAAUAAAGUAGUUGCUCAUAC